AGGUUACUUUCAUAUUAAUACAAAUACUGUUAAAGUAAUAUGAAUACUACAUAUGUUGAAUGUCAGUCAAGGUUACAAGCUAUUGCUGCUAUUGAAGCAAUAACAAAAAUACUUCCUUGCCAACAGUAACCAGUAAUUUGCCACUCAUUCUGCAAUGACUCCAAAGGUUGUCUGAUAUACUGUUUAUUGGUUUAAGAGUACAAACUUUCAUUAUCCUGUAAAUAUGUAACAGAGCGAUUGAACUAAAAUAUAGCUGUGCGUCUGGAGAGAAAGUGUGUGUGUUUGUGUGUGUGUGUGUGUGUGUGUGUGUGUGUGUGUGUGUGUGUGUGUGUGUGUGUGUGUGUGUGUGAGUGUGGGUGGAUCUAUGGGUUGGGAGUUUUGUCUGCACCUAGCCCUAAUGCAAUCUAGGCCACACACACACACACACACACAGAUCCUCACCUAGACAGAGGUUACACAGAGGCUCCAGCAGUUCUGUUUUGUCAGCUGAACACACAAACAGACCAGACAUCACCAUGUCUUCUAAA